rnacentral:rRNA from 1 species
UACGAAGGGGGGCUAGCGUUGCUCGGAAUUACUGGGCGUAAAGGGCGCGUAGGCGGACAGUUAAGUCAGAGGUGAAAUCCCAGAGCUCAACUCUGGAACUGCCUUUGAUACUGGGGAUCUCGAGUUCGGGAGAGGUGAGUGGAACUGCGAGUGUAGAGGUGAAAUUCGUAGAUAUUCGCAAGAACACCAGUGGCGAAGGCGGCUCACUGGCCCGAUACUGACGCUGAGGUGCGAAAGCGUGGGGAGCAAACAGG